rnacentral:rRNA from 1 species
UGGUGGAGUGAUUUGUCUGGUUAAUUCCGAUAACGAACGAGACCUUAACCUGCUAAAUAGUCACCGGAAGCUGCUACAAAAGCAUCGUCGGCGUUGCGGUCUGGCGCGGGCAACCGUAGUUGGGUCGUGCGUCGGCGGUGUGGUUGCUUCGCGGGAUGCACUUCUUAGAGGGACUUUCUACUCUGAAGUAGAAGGAAGUUUGAGGCAAUAACA